UAGGGAAUAUUGCACAAUGGACGCAAGUCUGAUGCAGCAACGCCGCGUGCUCGAUGAAGGCCUUCGGGUUGUAAAGGGCUUUUCGGGGAGAGGAGCAAGGACAGUAUCCCCGGAAGAAGGAUCGGCUAACUACGUGCCAGCAGCCGCGGUAAAACGUAGGAUCCGAGCGUUAUCCGAAUUCACUGGGCGUAAAGCGCGUGCAGGCGGCCGAGUAAGUUGGAUGUGAAAUCUCCCGGCUCAACUGGGAGCGGACGUUCAAGACUGUUCGGCUCGAGGACGGUAGAGGGAGGUGGAAUUCCCGGUGUAGUGGUGAAAUGCGUAGAUAUCGGGAGGAACACCAGUGGCGAAGGCGGCCUCCUGGGCCGUUCCUGACGCUCAGACGCGAAAGCUAGGGGAGCGAACGGGA
rnacentral:rRNA from 1 species